CCCGCUUUAAAGAUGGGACUUUCACCCCAUUUUCUUCUCUUUCGACUCCUUGUUUUUGGUAUGUCAUGAGAUCGAUGUUGGGACUUCUUAUAGGAGUUGACUCGAUGAGAAAAAUGCAAUCAAGAGUUCAUGGUGAACUCAGACAUAACACAUUCACAUGCAUCCAAAAAUAAAGGCGAAAGGGAUUCAGACUCUGCGUUGGACUAUUUGAACUUAGUAUAAUUAACCAUACAUCAUAAUAAGCCACAAAUAACAAUCAGAAAGCUUAAAUUCAUGUUCAAGGUGGUCCUAUUGGUUAACAGAAUACAUGAGAGAAUUCAUUCAUUAUCAUAUUCGGGAAAACAAUGAGAAAGGGUUUUGGGGUUCAAAUUUUAAGGAUGCUCUGUCUAUCUUUUAAAGAUAUCAUCAAUGAUCAUCGAAGUUACAAAUAGACAGAUGGAAUAAAGGUUAAUCUUAAAAUGCGGGGUUGUACAUAAAGCAUACACUACUAAACUCUAAGUUAUAGCAUACUGAAUCCAUCAUAAUUGUUCAAUCAAGUAAUACAUAGUUUUUCAGAUUAACUCAAAUGGAAGCAAUAAUUCUAGUAGUCGCAUCGAGCUUUACGUUCUCACUGGUCGAUUAAGAUAUGAACAAACUUUACCUCAGCCAAAAGACUACUUUCUUUCAUGUUGUAGAAGGCCCCAACCAGAAAAGAAAAACAAGGAAAGCUGGAAUGAACAUGGAGGCAAGAACAACAAGAACCUCCGACGAAAAAUAAAUAGAGCAAAGGAAGGAGGUAGCGCAAUCUAAAAAAAAACCAUAGCCACUGAAUAGAACCUUUAAACUUAUCUGAGUGACGAAGAACAAUCCCUAUGAUAAUCUAAAUCCAUUCAAUUAGGCUAAUAACCUUGAACAAAUCCUCCUCUCCUCGUUCGGUAGUGCAAGGAUAUAAGCCAAAGCUUAUUAGAGAUUCAUGGGAUCAUUAUUAUGGCUCUAUGGCUAACUUCCAGGUCUCUUCAAUAUCGCCGAAUUAAAAAGACCUUGCGAGUUGCGUUAAAUAAAUGAAAAGAACAC
rnacentral:lncRNA from 1 species